GACGAACGCUGGCGGCGUGCUUAACACAUGCAAGUCGAACGGAAAGGCCCUGCUGGUGGGGGUUGCGCGAGGGGCGAACGGGUGAGUAACACGUGAGUAGCCUUCCCUUGAGGGUGGGAUAAGGGCAAGUAAGUGGAGCUAAGAACGGGUACGAACUUCUGCGGCAGGGGGGGGGAGGGAUAGUUGCGGCGGUUGGGGAUGGACCCGGGGCUCAUCAGCUUGUUGGUGGGGUAGUGGCUGACGAAGGCUUGUAGGGGUAGCCGGCCUGUGGGGGUGACCGGCAAAAUUGGGACUGGGAUAGGGCCCAGACUCCUCCGGGAGGCAGCAGUGGGGAAUAUUGCAAAAUGGGCGGAAGCCUGAUGCAGGAACGCGGCGUGGGGGAUGACGGCCUUCGGGUUGUAACCCGCUUUCGCCUGUGACGAAGCGUGAGUGACGGUAAUGGGUAAAGAAGCACCGGCUAACUACGUG
rnacentral:rRNA from 1 species